rnacentral:rRNA from 1 species
UAGAUACCCUGGUAGUCCACACAGUAAACGAUGAAUACUCGCUGUUUGCGAUAUACAGUAAGCGGCCAAGCGAAAGCAUUAAGUAUUCCACCUGGGGAGUACGCCGGCAACGGUGAAACUCAAAGGAAUUGACGGGGGCCCGCACAAGCGGAGGAACAUGUGGUUUAAUUCGAUGAUACGCGAGGAACCUUACCCGGGCUUAAAUUGCAGUGGAAUGAUGUGGAAACAUGUCAGUGAGCAAUCACCGCUG